rnacentral:rRNA from 1 species
ACAAACCCUUGUGUGUUGCAUCUAGCACUCACCUUGCGACCCCAGGUCAAGCGAGACUAAUGGCGAGCGAACCGGGAUCAGCCCAGCUUGAGAAUCAGGCGGCUCUGUAGAAGCGUCCUUAGCGACGGACCGGUCCCAAGUCCCUUGGAAGAGAGUGCUAGAGAGGGUGAAAGCCCCGUCAUGUCCGAACUCUGUUGCACCACGAGGAGCUGUCGGCGAGUCGGGUUGUUUGGGAAUGCAACCCUAAUUGGGCGAUAAAUUUUGUCCAAGGCUAAAUACUGGCGAGAGACUAAUAGCGAACAAGUACCACAAGGGAAAGAUGAAAAGGACUUUGCAAAUAGAGUCAAAGUGUGCUUGAAAUUGUCAGGAGGGAAGCGAAUGGGGGCUUGCGAUGCGCAUAGGUUGGAUGCGAAAAGGUAUGAUCCGGUUCACUCUCGACUCUAGACAUGGACCGAUGCGGAUUCUGAUGGUGGCCCAAGCCCGAGACGUUUACGUGCUUGUGGAUACGUCAUCGUCAUGAUUGUGGUGGGCAACAUGCGCCUUCAACAUGCUUAUGACAAUUGCGCGCUUCAACAUCGGCCUAUGGGCUCCCCAUUCGACCCGUCUUGAAACAUGGACCUAGGAGUCUAACAUGUGUGCGAGUCAACGGGUAAGUAAACCCGGAAGGUGCAAGGAAGUUGAUUGGUGGGAUCCCCUUCUAGGUUGCACCGCCGACCGACCUAGACCUUUUGGGAAGGGUUCGAGUGUGAGCAUACCUGUCGGGACCCGAAAGAUGGUGAACUAUGCCUGAGUGGGGCGAAGCCAGAGGAAAUUCCAGUGGAAGCCCGCAGUGAUACUGACAUGCAAAUUGUUUGUCUGACUUUGGUAUAGGGGCGAAAGACUAAUUGAACCAUCUAGUAGCUGGUUCCUUCUAAAGUUUCCCUCAGGAUAACUGGAACUCAAGCAUGAGUUCUAUCGGUUAAAGCCAAUGAUUAGAGGCAUUGGGGGCGCAACACUCUCGACCUAUUCUCAAACUUUAAAUAGGUAGGACGGUGCGGCUGCUUUGUUGAGCCGUACCAUGGAAUCGAGAGCUCCAAGUGAGCCAUUUUUGGUAAGCAGAACUGAUGAUGCGGGAUGAACUGGAAGUCGGGUUACGGUGCCCAACUACACGCUAAUCUAGAACCCACAAAGGGUAUUGGUCGAUUAAGACCUUAGGACGGUGGUCAUGGAAGUUGAAAUCCACUGAGCAGUGUGUAACAACUCACCUGUCAAAUCAACUAGCCCCGAAAAUGGAUGGCACUUAAGCGCGUGACCCACACCCAGCCGUUGAGGCAAUUGUCAGGCCUUGAUGAGUAGGAUGGCGCGGCGGUAGCUGCAAAACCUGGGGCGUGAGCCCGAGCAGAGUUUCCGUAGGUGCAGAUCUUGGUGGUAGUAGCAAAUAUUCAAAUGAGAACUUUGAAGGCCGAAGAGGGGAAAGGUUCGAUGUGAACGACACUUGCAAAUGGGUUAGUCGAUCCUAAGAGUCGGGGUAACCCCGUCAGAGAGCACAAUCUGCGUGAACUUUGAAAGGGAAUCGGGAUGCGGGGGUUGACGACAACGUUAGCAAGUCUGGAGGCGUUGGCGGGGGCCUCGGAAAAAGUUAUGUUUUCUGUUUAACAACUUGCCCACCCUAGAAAUGGCUCAGUCGGAGGUAGGGUCUUGUGGUUGGAAGAGCACUGCACGUCGCAUGGUGUUCAAUGCCCCCCGACGACCCUUGAAAAUUCAAAGGACUGGGCUCGGGGGUCCCUGUCCUGAACCCGUCGGUUGUUGGUGGACUGUUCGAGCUGUUUCCGCGGCGAGAGCGGUUCACUGCGUGCCGACUGGGGGAUGGACUGGGAAUGAUCAUUUUGGAGGCCUUCCCCGGGCUUCGAAUAGUCAACUCAGAACUGGUACAGACAAGGGGAAUCCGACUGAUUAAUUAAAACAAAGCAUUGCGAUGGUCUUUAUGGAUGCUAACGCAAUGUGAUUUCUGCCCAGUGCUCUAAUUGUCAAAGUGAAGAAAUUCAACCAAGCGCGGGAGUAAUUAUGAUUCUCUUAAGGUAGCCAAAUGCCUCGUCAUCUAAUUAGUAACACGCAUGAAUGGAUUAACGAGAUUCCCAUUGUCCCGGUCGACCAUCCAGCGAAACCACAGCCAAGGGAACGGGCUUCGCAGAAUCAGCGGGGAAAGAAAGACCCUGUUGAGCUUGACUCUAGUCCGACUUUGUGAAAUGACUUGAGGGUAUGAUAAGUGGGAAGCGCUUGGGUCGAAAGUCAAAUACCACUACUUUUAACGUUAUUUUACUUAUUUCGUGUGUCGAAAGCGGGGCAGUGCCCCAUUUUUUGGAUCCAAGGGUCGUCUCGGCAGCCCGAUCCGGGCGAAAGACAUUGUCAGGUGGGGAGUUUGGCUGGGGUGGCACAUUUGUUAAAAGAUAACGUACGUGUCGUAAGAUGAGCUCAUAGAGAACAGAAAUCUCGUGUGGAACAGAAAGGUUAAAGCUCGUUUGAUUCUGAUUUCCAGUACGAAUGCGAACCGUGAAAGUGUGGCCUAUCGAUCCUUUAGACCUUCGAAAUUUGAAGCUAGAGGUGUUAGAAAGGUUACCAGAGGGAUAACUGGCUUGUGGCAGCCAGACGUUCAUAGCGACGUUGCUUUUUGAUCCUACGAUGUCGGCUCUUCCUAUCAUUGUGAAGAAGAAUUCACCAAGUGUUGGAUUGUUCACCCACCUAUAGGGAACGUGAGCUUGGUUUAGACCGUUGUAAGACAAGUUAGUUUUACCCUACUGAUGAUAGUGCCGCGAUAGUAAUUCAACCUAGUACGAGAGGAACCGUUGAUGUUGUGGGCAUGCACCAACGAAUGAUAAGACAUUGUGUAUUGGAUCCGUCAUGCAAUCGGCAGGCAGUGGAUAGGCCGUGGACAGGCAAUGUGCAUGCACUUGUUUCCUCGAACGUUCCAAGUAUUGUUCCAAUGCAUUGUUCGAUGAACUGUUCCAAGGAAUGUUCUAUCAGUCUUGGCACAGUUCCAUUAAAUGUUAUGUCAGUUCUGACAAAUAUUUUUGGAACGGUCCAU